GUUCUCCGUACUCGGCCGGCACUCGGCCGGCGUCAGGCGCCGGCGGCGAGCUGGCGGCUGCGGUCGCGGGCCGCUUCGAGUGCGGCGAUGAGCGC
rnacentral:tRNA from 1 species